rnacentral:rRNA from 1 species
CCCCGAAACCCCUGGGCGUACACGCGGGUCUGCAAUGGUUUGAACAAUGGGCUGUAACUCCGAAAGGAAAAGCCAAUCCCGAAAUCAUAUCUCAUUGGAGAUUGUCGGCUGUAACCCGCUGACAUGAACGUGGAGUCCCUAGUAAUCGUGUGUCAUCAUCGCACGGUGAAUACUUCUCUGCUCCUUGCGCACACCGCCCGCCGCUCCUUCCGAGUGUGCUAAAAAUGUAUGUAUGGUCAGAAUGGUCAUAUCGAGUUUCUAGUAUGCUAGGAGGGAAAAGUCGUAAAUAAGUAACCCGGUCCUUUCCUGAUUACGAGGCGCAGCAGGCGCGAAACCUCAGCAAUACACGAAAGUGUGACUGGGUUACCCAAAGUGUUCAGUUUUGAACUGUGGUAGGUGAGUAAUGUCCCCUACUAGAAAGGAGAGGGCAAGGCUGGUGCCAGCCGCCGCGGUAAAACCAGCUCUUCAAGUGGUCGGGAUAAUUAUUGGGCUUAAAGUGUCCGUAGCCUGUUUAGUAAGUUCCUGGUAAAAUCGGGUAGCUUAACUAUCUGUAUGCUAGGAAUACUGCUAAACUAGAGGGCGGGAGAGGUCUGAGGUACUAC